GAUAUAGCAAUAUAUCAGUGGCGCACGGGUGAGUAACACGUAGCUGACCUGCCCUUCAGUGCGGGAUAACGGUUCGAAAGGACUGCUAAUACCGCAUAAGCUCCCGGCAUUUAGAAAGCUGAGAGAAAAGUUACGGCGCUGAAGGAGGGGGCUGCGGUCCAUCAGGUAGAUGGUGAGGUAACGGCUCACCAUGCCGACGACGGAUAGGGGGCCUGAGAGGGUGACCCCCCACACUGGAACUGAGACACGGUCCAGACUCCUACGGGAGGCAGCAGUGAGGAAUAUUGCUCAAUGGGCGCAAGCCUGAAGCAGCGACGCCGCGUGGACGAUGAAGGCUUUCGGGUCGUAAAGUCCUUUUUUGGGUGACGAGCAGGGACGGUAGCCCAAGAAUAAGUCUCGGCUAACUACGUGCCAGCAGCCGCGGUAAAACGUAGGAGGCGAGCGUUAUCCGGAUUUACUGGGCGUAAAGCGCACGCAGGCGGCUUCGUUAGUCGGGUGUGAAAGCUCCUAGCUUAACUGGGAGAGGCCACUCGAUACUGCGAGGCUUGAGGUUGGGAGAGGGGUGUGGAAUUCCCGGUGUAGUGGUGGAAUGCGUAGAUAUCGGGAGGAACACCUGUGGCGAAAGCGGCACCCUGGCCCACACCUGACGCUGAGGUGCGAAAGCGUGGGGAGUAAACAGGAUUAGAU
rnacentral:rRNA from 1 species